CGACCUGAGCUCAGACGAGAUGACCCGCUGAAUUUAAGCAUAUCAGUAAGCGGAGGAAAAGAAACUAACCAGGAUUCCCCGAGUAAUGGCGAAUGAAACGGGAAGAGCCCAUCCCGAAUCCCCCGUACCUCCUCAAAGGCCAGCGGGCGGAGCUGUGGGGUAGGAGGCGCCGUCGCGAUGUAGGGUUGACCCGUUCCUAAGUCUUCUGGAAUGUGGCCACAGCCCCGAGAUGGUGAUAGGCCCGUGAGGGACCAGGUCCCCUAGUCGCGUCACGCUGGCGUCCUCGAGAGUCCGGCUGCUUGGGAGUGCAGCCCAAAGGUGCCCGAGAGGGUUGUGGGUGGUAGGCUCCAUCCAAGGCUAAAUACUGGCACGAGACCGAUAGCGCACGANNNNAAAAGAAAAGAGGGAGCUGGUCCCGUGCCGCCGGGGAAGCCUGAACGAGUAGGGGGGCGCGGAGGUGAGCGCAGAAGCCCGGUCCGUGGGGCCGGGAGGAGCCGCCUCUGGUGCAGAUCUUGGUGGAAGUAGCAAAUACUCCAGAGAGAACCUUGAGGGCCGAAGGGGAGAAGGGUUCCGCGGCGACGUCAUGCGUCCGCGGGUGAGUCGGUCCUGAGGGGUCGGCCAUUGCCGUUUAAAAGGGGGGGCCUUUUGCCCCCCGCACUCGAAAGGGAAUCAGGCCACGGUUCCUGUACCCAGAACCCGAUAUGAUCGCCCGACUCACGAGUACCGAGGACGGAGUCUAGCAGCGGGGAGCAGGGUAGCCGCAUCUGUAUAUACCCCCUUUCUGCGGUUGCUUGGCAAGCUGCUGCUGGUUGAGAGGCUCCCGAUGGGGAAAGGGGCUGGCGUGAAAUGCGGCGACGCGCGCGAGCCAGGAGACGCCAGCGGUCGGACCGGCCAGGACUAUCUCUUCUGGUUGAGAGACGGUGAGCCCCCCGGAGUUUGGGCCUCGGGCCGAGAAGGGGGGGAAGUACUCGCAAAGCGUCCCCGAGUAGGGCGUCCGGGAACCGUCCGCUGGCCCUUGAAAAUCCUGGGGAGAGAGAGAGAGCAAAGAAAAAAAUCGAUUCGGGCCUGGGCCGUACCGAUAUCCGCAUCAGGUCUCCAAGGUUUGAAGCCUCUGGCCAAUAGAACACUGUAGGUAAGGGAAGUCGGCAAGUUGGAUCCGUAACUUCGGAAGAAGGAUUGCCUCUGGGGGCCGGGCAGCGCCUGGUCCGACCGGAAGCGGAGAAGGGGCCCGCCUGUCAAAAUGCUGGGGGGCAACCCGCCGUGGAAGGGCACGACUUAAGUGGCCGGGAAUCGAGUGCGCGUGUUGUAAUGGGCCGCGCCCCCGCAACCGCAAGGGCUGCCGGAGCGGUCGACGUGGAGGUGUCACGGUCCGGGGGAAUCCGACUGUCUAAUUAAAACAUAGCCUCUCGAAAACCGGCGAGCGGUGCUGACGGGAGGUGAAUUCUGCCCAGUGCCCUGAAUGUCAAAGUGGAGAAAUGCACAUAAGCGCGGGUAAACGGCGGGAGUAACUAUGACUCUCUUAAGGUAGCCAAAUGCCUCGUCAUCUAAUUAGUGACGCGCAUGAAUGGAUUAACGAGAUUCCCACUGUCCCUACCUACUAUCUAGCGAAACCACAGCCAAGGGAACGGGCUUGGCGAAGACAGCGGGGAAAGAAGACCCUGUUGAGCUUGACUCUAGUCCGACUCUGGCAGGCGGCGCGGGCGGUGUAGCAUAGGGAGGAGACCCCACCGAGGCGCAUCCCGUCGUCAGGGACGGCCGGGGGCUAGCACGGGUGCGGGGUGGUAGAGCGCGGACCCUCCUUUGCCCUGGCGUGCGCGUGCGGCAAUGGGCCACCUCGUGGCCUAGGGCUUGCUUGUUUGCGUCGGGCCGGGGAGAUCGUGCCUCCCUCCGUCCUGCUGGUUGGUCUCUGAGCCCCCUGGCGGCGGCUCAACGGGGACCCGAGCUUGAAAUACUCCCACGUGCGCGUCCGUCUGCCUCCAUCCGGUGAAGCGGGCUUUGGGCGUUACCCCCAUGGCCGGUUGGGGGGCCAUUUUGUCACACAAGAGCUAAGUCGCCCCCUCGCCACUCUUACCACGAGGCCGGCGAGGCUGGCGGCGACCCGGUCCGGAGACAAAGUCAGGCGGGGAGUUUGGCUGGGGCGGUACGCCCGUCAAAAGAUAACGCGGGCGACCUAAGGCCAGCUCAGCUGCGGUUAGAAACCUGGCGUAGAGCACAAGGGCAAAAGCUGGCUUGACCGAGCGCAUCCAGUAAGUGCGCCGGCUGCGAAAGCAAGGCCUAGAGAUCCUCUCGGACCCACAGUGGUGCCUGGGAGCGCAGAUCAGGGGAGAGGUGUCAGAAAAGUUACCACAGGGAUAACUGGCUUGUGGCGGCCAAGCGUUCCUAGCGACGUCGCCGUUUGAUCCUUCGAUGUCGGCUCUUCCUAUCACGGCGAGGCAGGACUCGCCAAGCGUUGGAUUGUUCACCCACCGACAGGGAACGUGAGCUGGGUUUAGACCGUCGCGAGACAGGUUAGUUUUACCCUACUGUUGACCGUUGGAUGUCGAAGCGGCAGGGCUGCUCAGUACGAGAGGAACAGUGGACCCGGGCC
rnacentral:rRNA from 1 species